rnacentral:rRNA from 1 species
AUACGGAGGGUGCAAGCGUUACUCGGAAUCACUGGGCGUAAAGCGCGCGCAGGCGGUCUUUUAAGUUGGAUGUGAAAGCCUACGGCUCAACCGUAGAACUGCAUACAAAACUAUUAGACUAGAGUGUGGGAGAGGAAGAUGGAAUUAGUUGUGUAGGGGUAAAAUCCGUAGAGAUAACUAGGAAUACCAAAAGCGAAGGCAAUCUUCUGGAACACUACUGACGCUGAGGCGCGAAAGCGUGGGGAGCAAACAGGAUUAGAAACCCUAGUAGUCC